CGAUUCCGCAAGGAAUAGUGGCAGAAGGGUUAAUAACGCGUGGGUAAUUUACCAUCGGGCUGGGAAUAACCUGCCGAAAGGCGGGCUAAUACCGAAUAAUACAGCGUCAUCGCAUGAUGAUGUUGUCAAAGGCUGGCCGUAAGGUCCGUCACCUGUUGAUGAACCCGCGUCCUAUCAGCUUGUUGGUGAGGUAACGGCUCACCAAGGCUUUUGACGGGUAGCUGGUCUGAGAGGAUGGUCAGCAACACUGGGACUGAGACACAGCCCAGACUCCUACGGGAGGCUGCAGUCGAGAAUCUUUAUCAAUGCCCGAAAGGGUGAAUAUGCGACGCCGCGUGCAGGACGAAGGUUUUCGGAUCGUAAACUGCUGUCAGGGGUGAGGAAAACCCGUUAGUUCAUAGCUAGCGGCUUGACGUUAACCCCAAAGGAAGCCACGGCUAACACUGUGCCAGCAGCCGCGGUAAUACAGAGGUGGCAAGCGUUGCUCGGAUUCAUUGGGUGUAAAGGGCAGGUAGGCGGCUUUGUAAGUCUGUUGUGAAAUCCCAGGGCUCAACCCUGGAACUGCAGCAGAAACUACAUAGCUUGAGGCUUAGAGAGGUAAGGGGAAUUCCUGGUGUAAGGGUGAAAUCUGUAGAUAUCAGGAGGAACACCUAUGGCGAAGGCACCUUACUGGCUGAGAUCUGACGCUGAACUGCGAAAGCUAGGGUAGCAAACAGGAUUAGAUACCCUGGUAGUCCUAGCUGUAAACGAUGUGGAU
rnacentral:rRNA from 1 species